rnacentral:rRNA from 1 species
CUUGCCGCGUUCUUACACAUGCAAGUCGAACGAUGAACCGCUUUCGGGCGGGGAUUAGUGGCGAACGGGUGAGUAACACGUGGGCAAUCUGCCCUGCACUCUGGGACAAGCCCUGGAAACGGGGUCUAAUACCGGAUAUGACUGUCCGCCGCAUGGUGGAUGGUGUAAAGCUCCGGCGGUGCAGGAUGAGCCCGCGGCCUAUCAGCUUGUUGGUGAGGUAGUGGCUCACCAAGGCGACGACGGGUAGCCGGCCUGAGAGGGCGACCGGCCACACUGGGACUGAGACACGGCCCAGACUCCUACGGGAGGCAGCAGUGGGGAAUAUUGCACAAUGGGCGAAAGCCUGAUGCAGCGACGCCGCGUGAGGGAUGACGGCCUUCGGGUUGUAAACCUCUUUCAGCAGGGAAGAAGCGAGAGUGACGGUACCUGCAGAAGAAGCGCCGGCUAACUACGUGCCAGCAGCCGCGGUAAUACGUAGGGCGCAAGCGUUGUCCGGAAUUAUUGGGCGUAAAGAGCUCGUAGGCGGCUUGUCACGUCGGUUGUGAAAGCCCGGGGCUUAACCCCGGGUCUGCAGUCGAUACGGGCAGGCUAGAGUUCGGUAGGGGAGAUCGGAAUUCCUGGUGUAGCGGUGAAAUGCGCAGAUAUCAGGAGGAACACCGGUGGCGAAGGCGGAUCUCUGGGCCGAUACUGACGCUGAGGAGCGAAAGCGUGGGGAGCGAACAGGAUUAGAUACUCUGGUAGUCCACGCCCGUAAACGGUGGGCACUAGGUGUGGGGCAACGUUCCACGUUUGUCCGUG